rnacentral:rRNA from 1 species
GAUGAACGCUGGCGGCGUGCCUAAUACAUGCAAGUCGAGCGAAUGGAUUAAGAGCUUGCUCUUAUGAAGUUAGCGGCGGACGGGUGAGUAACACGUGGGUAACCUGCCCAUAAGACUGGGAUAACUCCGGGAAACCGGGACUAAUACCGGAUAACAUUUUGAACCGCAUGGUUCGAAAUUGAAAGGCGGCUUCGGCUGUCACUUAUGGAUGGACCCGCGCCGCAUUAGCUAGUUGGUGAGGUAACGGCUCACCAAGGCAACGAUGCGUAGCCGACCUGAGAGGGUGAUCGGCCACACUGGGACUGAGACACGGCCCAGACUCCUACGGGAGGCAGCAGUAGGGAAUCUUCCGCAAUGGACGAAAGUCUGACGGAGCAACGCCGCGUGAGUGAUGAAGGCUUUCGGGUCGUAAAACUCUGUUGUUAGGGAAGAACAAGUGCUAGUUGAAUAAGCUGGCACCUUGACGGUACCUAACCAGAAAGCCACGGCUAACUACGUGCCAGCAGCCGCGGUAA